rnacentral:lncRNA from 1 species
UCAUCCGCCCUCGAAUAGGAUAUUUUGGGUUCAUCCGCCCUCGAAUAGGAUUUUAUUUUCAAAGUUGUUGUUGAAGCCAGGCGCCCACCUGAAUAACGAAAGGAAUACUUUUCUUGUCUGUCCAUUGCAUAUUUUAGGCGCCCACUUGUAUAACAAGGAAAUACAUUCCACGCCUUUGCUAAUAGGAGACGCACUUCCUAAGUCUAGUUCUGCCAAUAGGAGACGCACUUCCUAAGUUAGUUUCACCCAUAGGAGACGCAUUUCCUCCUAAGUUUAGUUUUACCCAUAGGAGACGCAUUUCUUCCUAAGUUUAGUUUACCCAUAGGAGACGCAUUUCCUCCUAAAUUUACUUUUACCCACAAGAGACGCAUUUCCUCCUAAGUUUAGUUUUACCCACAGGAGACGCAUUUCCUCAUAAGUUUAGUUUUACCCAGAGGAGACGCAUUUCCUCCUAAGUUUAGUUUUACCCAUAGGAGACGCAUUUCCUCCUAAGUUUAGUUUACCCAUAGGAGACGCAUUUCCUCAUAAGUUUAGUUUACCCAUAGGAGACGUAUUUCCUCCUAAAUUUACUUUUACCCAUAAGAGACGCAUUUCCUUCUAAGUUU